rnacentral:rRNA from 1 species
AUUGAACGCUGGCGGCAAGCCUAACACAUGCAAGUCGAACGAGUGGCGGACGGGUGAGUAAUGCUUGGGAAACUGGCUUAUGGAGGGGGAUAACUACGGGAAACUGUAGCUAAUACCGCGUACCAUCGGAUGUGCCCAAGUGGGAUUAGCUAGUUGGUGGGGUAAAGGCUCACCUAGGCGACGAUCACUAGCUGGGCUGAGAGGAUGACCAGCCACACUGGAACUGAGACACGGCCCAGACUCCUACGUGAGGCAGCAGUGGGGAAUAUUGCGCAAUGGGGGCAACCUGACGCAGCCAUGCCGCGUGAAUGAAGAAGGCCUUCGGGUUGUAAAGUACUUUCGGUAGCGAGGCGUUAACUACAGAAGAAGCACCGGCUAACUCCGUGCCAGCAGCCGCGGUAAUUC